GACGAACGCUGGCGGCGCGCUUAACACAUGCAAGUCGAGCGAUGAAACUUUAACAGAACCCUUCGGGGCGAAGAUAAAGUGGAUUAGCGGCGGACGGGUGAGUAACACGUGAGUAACCUGCCUUAUACAUUGGGAUAGCCUCGGGAAACCGGGAUUAAUACCAAAUAAAAUCAUAAUGACACAUGUCAUAACGAUCAAAACUCCGGUGGUCUAAGAUGGACUCGCGUCCCAUUAGCUGGUUGGUAGAGUAAAAGCCUACCAAGGCGACGAUGGGUAGCCGGGCGGGGAGGGUGACCGGCCGCAUUGGAGCUGAGGAACGGUCCAAACUCCUACGGAAGGCAGCAGUGGGGAAUAUUGCACAAUGGAGGGAACUCUGAUGCAGCGGCGCCGGGGGAACGAAGAAGGCGUUCGAGUCGUAAAGUUCUUUUAUAUGGGAAGAUAAUGACGGUACCAUAAGAAAAAGCCCCGGCUAACUACGUG
rnacentral:rRNA from 1 species